rnacentral:misc_RNA from 1 species
GCAUGGUUUAGAAAGAAUUUUCAGCUUUAUCUAAUCUUUUUAUUAGACGAAAUUGAUCAGCUUUGAACUGUAUAGGUCAAAACCUUCAUAGGCUGUGCCUACUUGUGAAGAGCAAAAGCAAUUUGCCAAUUGGAAGUGUGAAGUCACUAAUACGAUCACUCUGGACAACAGAAUGUUGCAGCUGUCAGUAAAAGAUGAUUUUUGCUAGUAUCAGGCAGUUAAUGAAUGUUGUAGAAAACCUACCAGAAUAAUGCUUAAACGCAUUUUUAUUUAUUGUUUUUGCUUGUCAGAUCUCUUACCGAACUGAAUGUUAGCUUUCCUGUCUGGAACUAUAAUUUAUAUAUAAAUUUGAGAUUUAUUUUGAUAUUAUUGUGGUUUAGGCG